rnacentral:lncRNA from 1 species
AGCCGGUAGCACAGAAACCAAUUUCUGUACUAAUCGAAGUGACCAUCUAGCAAUGGUACCCGACAUUCAGAUAGAUCGAAUAAUCAUAAUCGCAACAUUCAGAACCUAUGUGAAUAUAGUUACUGUUUAAUUCAUGCCUUUUGACCUCUGUGUAUAGGAUGACUCAGGGUUAAACUAUCAACCCUGAUCAGAUCAUUCGAAUUAUGCUCAACUCAAACAGUCCUGUGACUCCUCACUAGGACUACUCUGGCCAAGGUUUUUCUAAAUUGAAACAUGACUGUACACAGCUCCUAAACUAGAGUGGUUAAUCUCAUCUUGACACACGCACCGACAAGUCAAGUACUUGACUACACCCAGCAUCCUUCCAUCACUGAAUUAGAAAUUCAGAUAGUCCAGUGCCUAAGUGUAGUGAGUUACUUGCAAGUCACCAUGGC